rnacentral:lncRNA from 1 species
ACCAACAUUUACAACUAAACGCUACCUCCAACAGCGUCACCACCACCAUCACCGUCAAAACCAUCACCACAUUGAUAAAAAAAUUAAUCAAUUUAUUGGUUAUAACUUUCAAUCAACCAAUAAAAUCAUCAUAAACACCCACUUCCCAUCCCACCACUUCAAAGCACCGAACCACCACCACCAUCGACAUCACUACCACUACAACACCAAUAGCACCCAUGCCCCAUCCCACCACUCCAAAAGCAGCCCAACAACCAUCAACGACGCCGCCCACUGUUAGCACCAUCGACAUCACCACCACUAUCACACUAACAGUAACACCACCACCAUUGCGGCAAGCGACGUACGACUGCACUGCAACCGCCAGAUCUACCAUCAUGACCUCCACUAAAUAAAGUCGUCACCACACAAAACACCACCUAAAAUCGCCACCACAUAAACACCACCCAAAGUUGCCACUUUACAAACACCAUCACCGCAAACACCACCAACCGUAAAAAAUCACCUACAAACACUACAAACCACAAAACACCAACACACCACAAACACCGCCAUCUGCGAGACCUAGUGGACUCCCAAUGUCACCACAAACACCACCAAUGGUACCGAAAUCUGUAUGCCACUCGUCUCUCCAUCUCAUACAGCAUCGAGAUCAGAGUUGUUUCAGAUCUCGAAAUCUCACAGACAGCUCCAUCGUCGCUAUGUAAACGGCGUCAAGCUACGGGAUUAACACGGCCAUCGAAAUCUGUAUGCUCCGCACAGAUCGAAAUCUCAUGCCACCGCACCUCGCACAACUCUUGGAUUAACACACCUCGUCGCUCCACCUCGCAGAUUAAUGCUGCUCACACGCUAUACCUUGCACAUAUUGAAGUCUUACGUCUCCCUACCUCCCACAACCGCUUCGAUGUGUGUUAAAGAGACGCGUGGAGAUAAAAGAGAGAGACGAGAGAGGGAGAUGAGUCCGUG